AUUGAACGCUGGCGGCAGGCCUAACACAUGCAAGUCGAGCGGAGCGGCGGACGGGUGAGUAAUGCCUAGGAAUCUGCCUGGUAGUGGGGGAUAACGUCCGGAAACGGGCGCUAAUACCGCAUCCUAUCAGAUGAGCCUAGGUCGGAUUAGCUAGUUGGUGGGGUAAAGGCCUACCAAGGCGACGGUCCGUAACUGGUCUUAGAGGAUGAUCAGUGAAACUGGGACUGAGACACGGUCCAGACUCCUACGGGAGGCAGCGGGGGGGAAUAUUGCACAAUGGGGGAAAGCGUGAUGUAGCAACGCCGGGUGCGUGAGGACGGCCUUCUGGUUGUAAACCGCUUUCAGCCAUGACGCGGUAGUGGCAGAAGAAGCACCGGCUAACUACGAGCCAGCAGCCGCGGUAAUAC
rnacentral:rRNA from 1 species